rnacentral:rRNA from 1 species
CACGUAGGCGGAUCGAUCAGUCAGGGGUGAAAUCCCAGAGCUCAACUCUGGAACUGCCUUUGAUACUGUCGAUCUGGAGUAUGGAAGAGGUGAGUGGAAUUCCGAGUGUAGAGGUGAAAUUCGUAGAUAUUCGGAGGAACACCAGUGGCGAAGGCGGCUCACUGGUCCAUUACUGACGCUGAGGUGCGAAAGCGUGGGAGCAAACA